rnacentral:rRNA from 1 species
AUUGAACGCUGGCGGAAUGCUUUACACAUGCAAGUCGAACGGUAGAGGGGGCACCCCCUCGAGAGUGGCGAACGGGUGAGUAAUAUAUCGGAACGUGCCCAGUCGUGGGGGAUGACGUAGCGAAAGUUACGCUAAUACCGCAUACGAUCUACGGAUGAAAGCGGGGGAUCGCAAGACCUCGCGCGAUUGGAGCGGCCGAUAUCAGAUUAGGUAGUUGGUGGGGUAAAGGCUCACCAAGCCAACGAUCUGUAGCUGGUCUGAGAGGACGACCAGCCACACUGGAACUGAGACACGGUCCAGACUCCUACGGGAGGCAGCAGUGGGGAAUUUUGGACAAUGGACGCAAGUCUGAUCCAGCCAUUCCGCGUGCAGGAUGAAGGCCCUCGGGUUGUAAACUGCUUUUGUACGGAACGAAAAGGUUUCCAUUAAUACUGGGAGCUCAUGACGGUACCGUAAGAAUAAGCACCGGCUAACUACGUGCCAGCCGCCGCGGUAA